rnacentral:rRNA from 1 species
GACGAACGCUGGCGGCGUGCUUAACACAUGCAAGUCGAACGGAAAGGCCCUGCUUUUGUGGGGUGCUCGAGUGGCGAACGGGUGAGUAACACGUGAGUAACCUGCCCUUGACUUUGGGAUAACUUCAGGAAACUGGGGCUAAUACCGGAUAGGAGCUCCUGCUGCAUGGUGGGGGUUGGAAAGUUUCGGCGGUUGGGGAUGGACUCGCGGCUUAUCAGCUUGUUGGUGGGGUAGUGGCUUACCAAGGCUUUGACGGGUAGCCGGCCUGAGAGGGUGACCGGCCACAUUGGGACUGAGGUACGGCCCAGACUCCUACGGGAGGCAGCAGUGGGGAAUAUUGCACAAUGGGCGGAAGCCUGAUGCAGCAACGCCGCGUGCGGGAUGACGGCCUUCUGGUUGUAAACCGCUUUCGCCUGUGACGAAGCGUGAGUGACGGUAAUGGGUAAAGAAGCACCGGCUAACUACGUG